rnacentral:rRNA from 1 species
UACGUAGGGUGCAAGCGUUGUCCGGAAUUAUUGGGCGUAAAGAGCUCGUAGGCGGUUUUGUCGCGUCGGCUGUGAAAACCCGGGGCUCAACCCCGGGCCUGCAGUCGAUACGGGCAAACUAGAGUAUUGCAGGGGAGACUGGAAAUUCCUGGUGUAGCGGUGAAAUGCGCAGAUAUCAGGAGGAACACCGGUGGCGAAGGCGGGUCUCUGGGCCACUACUGACGUGAGAAGCGAAAGCAUGGGGGAGCGAACAGG